AUCUUCUUAUUUUCUUUGAUAGUUUUUUUUUAACUCACUAAUCUAGGUUAAGUUUUAGUUUACUAACACGCUGUUCUUUAAAAUGUUGUGUUUUCACCUGCAUGCCUAAUAUAGUUUAUUUUCAACCUCACAAAUAUUAGAAUUUAUCUCUUGUGGAAGAAGUUUAUAAAAAUACCGUUGCGGGUGGUUAAGUAUAAGCGGCGAUGCGGGGUAUUUAGAGGUGCGGGCGAACAUCAAAUUAGUAUAUGUGAUAACAUCAGUUUUGAAGUGGUAAUUGUGCAAUGCCAACUACGGCGAGCCGAAAGUUCUCGAAGUAGCCGAAGAUGACGUCACGUUGCGAAAGCUGCGAACAAAAUUUUUCGCAGCUGAUCGUUUUGUUUACAUCUUUUUCGUGACUAAUACAAGCAAACACAUACUGAGAGCUGGACCUGUUGUAUAUGACAUUGUAUAAGGGGUCGUCUAUCAACUACGUUACGCUAUAUUGACCAUUAUCAAUCCCCCAUUUUCUUAUGCCACAUUUAUUGUAUGGAGACAUUUAAAAUUCAGUAUGGAUUGUCACUUUUCUCUGAAAACUCUUCCCCACAUAGAGCAAUUAUUAAUUUUUUGACGAACCAUAGUAUCUCUGGUUAGCUUAAAAUAUAGCCUAGAAUUGCCAUUGGGUACCCAAGUAAUUAGUAAGAACAGUAAUGUGGCACUAUAUGCGCAAAUAUGGUGUGAAGAUUUAUGUUUUACUCCCCCUUACUACUAUAUCCAAUUACCAAGCAUCUGGUCAAAACACUGGAUAGCAUUGAAACAUGACCUAUAUGCGAAUGUACAAUCAACAUAAAGCUUAUUUAAUUCUUGUAUGCAUCAGGCUUAGCCCAGCUAACCACUAGCCCGCUAAUUCUCCUUUUUGGCCUUAUAAGGCUAUUAUACGGCUAAUAUAGGGCAUGUAAGUUGUAUAGCACUAUAUUAGCUUUCUUCUAUGUUACCGGAGUAUUGUAUUGGUUUGUACGGGUAUUUUGGAGUCCUUCAUUGACUAUAGGUCGUGGGAACUACGACCAUAAUAAGUGCUCUAAGGUUAAUUUUCAAAUAUUUCAAAGACUCCUAACCAUUCAUGUGAGUAAACGGUGUAUUGUAUUAAUUUGAUAUUGGACGGGAUUCGGUGAGCAGUAUUUUCGUUCGGACUGGGUCUGGUUUCCAUGGGAUCGGUCGGUAUUUUCUUCAUGGUGCGUUGCUCAAUCAAUGAAAGGUCGGAAAUCUACGGUAUCUGGAUGCGCGGUGCAUCUUCCUGUCGGUCGUAUUGGCAGAAGUCUAAUUCGUUAUUCUCUGAUAUGAACAGUUGAUGAUCUGGGUUGUUGGUGCUCGUUGACUGCAGCUUGACUGCUGGUUUCGAUACCUGUUGGACGAUCUAUCUUCAGUAAGUUGGCUGGUUGGGUUGGAUUGAGUUUCGUGCUUUUCCUUAACUGUUGGAUUCGGAUCAUGGGUCUGAUAGUAUCGUGGUCGGUUGAAAUCCUCUACUGUUGUUUUGCAGUGUUUCGGAUGUGAAUCAGAGGGAUGUAAACUGGACUGUUGAAUUGUGAGCACAUAGUUCCUCAUCAGAUUGUUCCUCGGUUGUGCGUGGAUCGGUAGUUCAUUGUUAUCCUGCGGCUUUUACCAAUCCAUCCUAUUUGGCUUCUCCUCUACCACGGGAGCUAGGAAGCUUCGUCCAAUUGGCGGGAUAUUCAUCGACAGUAGGGGGGUCGUUGAACGGUUGUUGCUGAAUGGAACCUCUAGGAGAGCUUUCCGCGUGGGCGAUUAUCGAUUCUUGGCUAGUCGGUAGUAGUUGUUCGUAUCGGGUUGCAAAAUCGGCUAAUACUUUCUGCUGUCGGUAUCUAGAACGAAGAAGAAAGAGGUUCGACUGAUGUGAAUUUUAUAGCUACUGGAUUCGGCACUGCAGUCUUGGGAGGAAUCAAAACAUGCAGACAAACCAAAACAAUAUCGUAGUAAAAUAAUAUACAAAAUACCUUGUAGCAACUGCCAACAGUGCUACAUAGGUAUGACAAGAAACAGAUUAAAAACAAGAUUAUACGGACACAAAACACACACCAACAAACUUAAUAGAUUAACAGAGUUAGGGUACAGCAAAACAGAUGCAGAUAUGCUAUCACCAAAAGAGAAAACAGCACUUAUCGAACAUUGUAUUGACCACGACCACCGUUUCGAUAUGGAUCGCGUAACAGUAUUAGACAGUAGCAACCACAUAAAUACACUUACCUUUUUGGAAAUGUGUCAUAUCACUAAUACACCACAUACAGUAAACCAUCGCACAGAUAUUAGUAGCUUAAAUUCAACAUACGCAGCCAUCCUACAAACCAUAUAUGAAACAUUUCAAGAUCGUCAAAUUUCAAGUCAACCACCAUCUUCGAACCAACCGUUACCGCCUUCAGAUGUGUAGUGCAGUUAAAGUGGCUAUAUUAAGUGAAAUUCAAAGAAAAGUUGCUACGUUUCACUUAAUACUAUAUCCCAUGUACAAAUUCCAAAACCUUGACACCAACAGUUAUAUGUUAACAUACACGAAGAACGAUUAAGUAGAAUGUAAGUGAACGAACAUAACAUGUAACAAAACAAAUAACAUUCCCCUAAUUACAGUAUCCCCAGAAGAAGACUCGAUUCUGAGUCGAAACGUCGGGAAAAA
rnacentral:lncRNA from 1 species